CCUGACAAGCAGAGGAGAACAUAUUCCUUAGCAUCUGCAGUGACUGUAGGAAAGUGAGAACCCUGUGUAACCUUUCCCGUUGCCCCGUGUGUCCAUACUCAUCCAGCACCUGGAUUCUGUUGCAGCUCUGUCAUCACUGCAUGCAGACUUUGUUCCUUUGGUCUUGGUGGACUUCUGUUCUUUGAAUGAAUUCUUCCUCAGGCACAACGCUUUGAGAAAGAAGCCAGCACAACAGCACUGUCAGCAGUGGCCUUAUUUUUCCUCUGCACAUCAGAUACCUUAACAAAUGCAGAAGCAGAGACAAUGCUGUCCCACCCAGCUUUAAUGCUGCUCGUGCUUGUGGUCUGGGAGUACUCCUCAGAUACACAUGGCUUUUCUUGGGCUUGGCUUCUCCACAAAGGUGCUGUCUGUAGGCUAAAAUAACAUGUGGAAGAGAAAUGCACUCAGAGAAGACAGACUCUAGCUUUAUUCCUCUGCUCACACUGCAAAAUACAGCACACAACAAAUCUGCAAGCAAAUCUGGAUUCGUGACUUAUGUGGGCCAUUAAUAUUUAAUGCACGCAGCAUCUACUCUUUCACAGAUUGAGACUCUGGCAGUCAGGGAGAGGAAGAGUAGAAGGGGAUUGUUCUGAAUGAAGGGAUGGUGAAGAGGAAGAGAGCAGUGUCACUGGAAAUGUCUAACACGGUCGCAGAAGGGCUGAGCCUUGUCUUUCAGGGAAGAACUCCAGAAGUGCAAAUGCUCUUUCUUUGUGAGCAGCUUUGCCCACACAAGUAAAUCCCAGUGAAGUCACUGGGAUAAUUCACGUGCACAAGACUGUGCCAUCUGGGACUAGGACAAUUGUGUACAGCUCAGAUUGAAAGUUUCUAAUUCUUCUUUUUCCUUAUGGCACACAUCUUUAAAGACUUCCAAACUAUUUAUAUUAAUAAUUAAGAAAGCUGAGGGUCUGAGCCUGCCUGAACUUCAGUUCUAGUAUAACUUUGAAAGACAACCAGCGGUCUUUACAAUAAAAAAACAAUAAAAUCCAGCUUUCUUUUUUGGGUGUUUGAAUGAUGACCUUAUGAGGUAUAUCGAAAUGAAAGAAAGAAGCGUUCUCCAAAGUUUUUGCACAAAAUGAAAAAAGCAGUACUGACUUCUAUCUGUCUCAUUUUCAAGUCUUAUAAGCCUGUCCUGCUUUCCAUGUACCUUUGCUAAAUAAAAAUGGUCACUAUAUUGUUGUAAAACAUACUUCAAUGGGAAGA